rnacentral:misc_RNA from 1 species
GAUGAAGAACGUAGCGAAAUGCGAUAAGUAAUGUGAAUUGCAGAAUUCAGUGAAUCAUCGAAUCUUUGAACGCACAUUGCGCCCGCCAGUAUUCUGGCGGGCAUGCCUGUUCGAGCGUCAUUUCAACCAUCAAGCCCCCGGCUUGUGUUGGGGACCUGCGGCUGCCGCAGGCCCUGAAAACCAGUGGCGGGCUCGCUAGUCACUCCGAGCGUAGUAAUACAUCUCGCUCAGGGCGUGCUGCGGGUUCCGGCCGUUAAAAAGCCUUAUUUACCCAAGGUUGACCUCGGAUCAGGUAGGAAGACCCGCUGAACUUAAGCAUAUCAAUAAGCGAGA